AUUGAACGCUGGCGGCAGGCCUAACACAUGCAAGUCGAGCGGAGCGGCGGACGGGGGAGUAAUGCCUAGGAAUCGGCCUGGGAGUGGGGGAGAACGUUCGGUAAUGGGCGCUAAUACCGCAUACUAUCAGAUGAGCCUAGGGCGGAUUAGCUAGUUGGUGGGGUAAAGGCCUACCAAGGCGACGAUCCGUAACUGGUCUGAGAGGAUGAUCAGUCACACUGGAACUGAGACACGGUCCAGACUCCUACGGGAGGCAGCAGUGGGGAAUAUUGGACAAUGGGCGCAAGCCUGAUCCAGCCAUGCCGCGUGUGUGAAGAAGGUCUUCGGAUUGUAAAGCACUUUAAGUUGGGAGGCGUUACCAACAGAAUAAGCACCGGCUAACUUCGUGCCAGCAGCCGCGGUAAUAC
rnacentral:rRNA from 1 species